UAAGCUCCCAGGGUUGCCGGCGCCUGUGAGCGAUCGGAGAGUCGCUAUCGCUGGGCCUACAUAGAGUUGAGUUAGCGCUUGACAGCCGCAGCAUGUGUCGCUUUCGUUUUGACUUUUGACCAUGGUACAAGUGUUCUAGAGAACGCGGAGUUAGGCGGUUCCCCUAUAGUCGGUACUUCAGCUGAGGCGUGGAGAAUCAACUUCCUCAUCUCUGUCAGUUUUUUUUCUCUUCAUAAUUUCGUUGCUCCAGCUUCUCAGGCCGGAGUUUGGCGCACGUGGGCCGCGGCGGCGCAUGGGUAGGGCCGAUGCCGUGGAUGGAGUUGGUGGUGAGCGCGUCUCUGAUCAUGUGGAUGUGGGGGUGGUUGCUGCAGCGACGCUGGCGGAGGGGCAAGCGGCGACAAUGAUCUGCUCCAGUCUUCUUUGCUCGCUAAUUGUCCGCCUCCGACCUUGCCGGAUGCCCCCGAGCUCGGCGUCGGAGAAGGACGACUACCCGGGCGCGACGCAGGGCCCCGGGGCAGGCCACCUAUUAUUCGGUCACGGGUUGCCCCAGGCCUCCGUUAUCCAGGAUGACUGGAUGAGCUGUCUUGGUCGGGGAUUAAUGAAGUUCCGGGGUCGGCGAGCCGGCGGGGUGCUGGACGGGUCGCCGUCUUAGCUCGGCAGAAUCCGGGAUAAGGAGAGUAUACACUGUAUACAGCUCUGUACUGCUUUGUACUCUGUUUGCGAUGAACACAGUAAUUUUCGGCCUGACUUCACUCACAUUUUCUAUUUCAGCAGAGAGAACAGACAAUCUCAAUCCAAUGGAACGAGUUGCUGGAUGACGGUGCGACUUUGUUUCGGAAGAAGCUUUGAUGUCCAUCGUUCCAGAAUCAGAUGAAUUGCAUAGUUAUGCAGCUUACGCUAUCUGUUUCCCUGGUAAUCCUGUCAUCCUCAUCGACUGAAAGAAUAAUUAUUUUGGAGGGCCGGAUUGCUCACAGAGGAGGAAGAAAUGCCGAAACGAAGCUUGGCGGCUCUCAUUCUUGAAGGUGGAAUAUCUCGAGACUGUUGAUUCCUUCAUGUCUUUGCAGCCUCACAACAGGAGAUUAGUUAUAACAUUUUGGUCCAUCUUUACUUAGGGUGUGUGCCUUAAAGACAUACUGAUAAACACUACAUAUUUAGAAGUGGGUUAAAUGCUUGCUUACGGCCGGCUGAUAGUUUUGAGCAUGUAAUGCCUUGAAACGAAUUAGUUUUUGCUUCUAUUGGAUAUUUAGGCAUGUUAAAAUGUCUAUCAGAUCAACUCUAUGAUAUGGGUUUCUGAAAAAAAAAACUGUAUGAUAUGAUUGUUCAUGGGUAACGUUUUGAAUA